rnacentral:lncRNA from 1 species
GAUAUCGCUAUGCUGUAUCUGUAUACUAUACAGAUAUCGCUUAAAAGCUCCGCCCACUGCCGGACUGAGUAUUGUAUGAACCUGCGUGACCUCAGAAUGUGUAUUGCUAACGCAUUCCAAUGACGUAUCAAUUGCGAAUUAACGAUUACUUUUAUACGUUCUGUAUGUUUUCAAACAUUUCUUUCGAGCAAUAAGAAUCACAC